rnacentral:rRNA from 1 species
AUUGAACGCUGGCGGCAUGCCUAACACAUGCAAGUCGAACGAGUGGCGGACGGGUGAGUAAUGUCUGGGAAACUGCCCGAUGGAGGGGGAUAACUAUUGGAAAAGGUAGCUAAUACCGCAUACUAUCGGAUGUGCCCAAAUGGGAUUAGCUAGUAGGUGGGGUAACGGCUUACCAAGCCGACGAUCCCUAGCUGGGCUGAGAGGAUGACCAGCCACACUGGAACUGAGACACGGUCCAGACUCCUACGGGAGGCAGCAGUGGGGAAUAUUGCACAAUGGGCGAAAGCCUGAUGCAGCCAUGCUGCGUGUAUGAAGAAGGCCUUCGGGUCGUAAAGUACUUUCAGUGAGGAGGCGGUACUCGAAGAAGAAGCCCCGGCUAACUCCGUGCCAGCAGCCGCGGUAAUAC